ACGAAGGGGGCUAGCGUUGUUCGGAAUUACUGGGCGUAAAGCGCGUGUAGGCGGUUUUCCAAGUUGGGUGUGAAAGCCUUGGGCUUAACCCAAGAAAUGCACUCAGUACUGGAAGACUAGAGGACCGGAGAGGAUAGUGGAAUUCCCAGUGUAGUGGUGAAAUACGUAGAGAUUGGGAAGAACACCAGUGGCGAAGGCGGCUAUCUGGACGGUUUCUGACGCUAAGACGCGAAAGCGUGGGGAGCAAACAGGAUUAGAUACCCUGGUAGUCCACGCCGUAAACGAUGGGUGCUAGACGUUGGCGAGCUUGCUCGUCAGUGUCGCAGCUAACGCGUUAAGCACCCCGCCUGGGGAGUACGGCCGCAAGGUUG
rnacentral:rRNA from 1 species